rnacentral:rRNA from 1 species
AUUGAACGCUGGCGGCAGGCUUAACACAUGCAAGUCGAGCGGGGUGAUGGUGCUUGCACUAUCACUUAGCGGCGGACGGGUGAGUAAUGCUUAGGAAUCUGCCUAUUAGUGGGGGACAACAUCUCGAAAGGGAUGCUAAUACCGCAUACGUCCUACGGGAGAAAGCAGGGGAUCACUUGUGACUUUGCGCUAAGAGAUGAGCCUAAGUCGGAUUAGCUAGUUGGUGGGGUAAAGGCCUACCAAGGCGGCGAUCUGUAGCGGGUCUGAGAGGAUGAUCCGCCACACUGGGACUGAGACACGGCCCAGACUCCUACGGGAGGCAGCAGUGGGGAAUAUUGGACAAUGGGGGGAACCCUGAUCCAGCCAUGCCGCGUGUGUGAAGAAGGCCUUAUGGUUGUAAAGCACUUUAAGCGAGGAGGAGGCUCUUUUGGUUAAUACCCAAGAUGAGUGGACGUUACUCGCAGAAUAAGCACCGGCUAACUCUGUGCCAGCAGCCGCCGUAA